AGAGAAAAAAAAGAAUAUUCGUGAAUGGUGUAUUCUUUUUGUACUUCUUUGUUGUGUUUUCUGUUUGUUUUUGUUUUGUGAAAUCUCCAUCAAAUUGGAGCGAGAGUCUGUAUUCAAAGGAAGAAAAAAAGAAAA
rnacentral:ribozyme from 1 species